CUACGGGCUGCACCAGCUAAGAAUCUUCCGCAAUGGACGCAAGUCUGACGGAGCGACGCCGCGUGUGCGAAGAAUGUCGAGAGAUUGUAAAGCACUUUUAUACGUGAGGAAUAACUGUGUCAGGAAAUGGGCAUGGGAUGACGUUAGCGUAUGAAUAAGCUCCGGCCAAUUACGUGCCAGCAGCCGCGGUAACACGUAGGGAGCGAGCGUUGUUCGGAAUUAUUGGGCGUAAAGGGCAUGUAGGCGGUUUUGUAAGUCUGAUGUGAAAGCGUGCAGCUUAACUGCAUUGUUGCGUUGGAAACUGCGAAACUUGAAUCCGAGAGGGGUGUGUGGAAUUCCUAGUGUAGGGGUGAAAUCUGUUGAUAUUAGGAAGAACACCAGAGGCGAAGGCGACACACUGGCUCUGGAUUGACGCUGAGGUGCGAAAGCGUAGGUAGCGAACAGGAUUAGAUACCCUCGUAGUC
rnacentral:rRNA from 1 species